rnacentral:rRNA from 1 species
UACGUAGACCUCAAGCGUUAUCCGAAUUUAUUGGGCGUAAAGAGUAUGUAGGAGGUUUUGUGCGUCUCACGUUAAAGCCCACCGCUUAACGGUGGAACUGCGUGGGAUACGACAAGACUAGAGGAGGUUAGAGGUGCAUAGAACGCACGGUGUAGGGGUGAAAUCCGUUGAUAUCGUGCGGAAUACCAAAGGCGAAGGCAGUGCACUGGGACUUUCCUGACUCUGAGAUACGAAAGCGUGGGGAGCAAAAAGG